rnacentral:ncRNA from 3 species
GGACGAACCCUUGGAGAGAUCCAAUCCAUGUAGUUAAUGGAAAAUGGACGCCGAAGGCGCAAGUGCGUAAGCAUGAAACGCUCAGGCAAAAGGACAGGGGAGAAAAG